rnacentral:rRNA from 1 species
GAAAACUUUACAAUGCUGGCAACAGCGAUAAGGGGACCUCGAGUGCCAGGAUACAAUCCUGGCUGUCGUAAUGCCUAAAAAGCAUUGCAUAGCAAGGGCCGGGCAAGACCGGUGCCAGCCGCCGCGGUAACACCGGCGGCUCGAGUGGUAACCGCUAUUAUUGGGUCUAAAGAGUCUGUAGCCGGCUGACUAAGUCUCUUGGGAAAUCUGGCAGCUCAACUGUCAGGCUUUCAGGAGAUACUGAUCGGCUCGAGACCGGGAGAGGUGAGAGGUACCUCAGGGGUAGGGGUGAAAUCUUGUAAUCCUUGAGGGACCACCAGUGGCGAAGGCGUCUCACCAGAACGGAUCUGACGGCAAGGGACGAAAGCUAGGGGCACGAACCGGAUUAGAUACCCGGGUAGUCCUAGCCGUAAACGAUACUCGCUAGGUGUCGGCCACGGUGCGACCGUGGUCGGUGCCGUAGGGAAGCCGUGAAGCGAGCCACCUGGGAAGUACGGCCGCAAGGCUGAAACUUAAAGGAAUUGGCGGGGGAGCAC